AACCAAGCUAUGUCGUUAGACAUCAGGAAAGCGGGUGUCCGGGCAUAAGCUGGUGGGGAUCAAAGACUGAUUAGCAACAUAAACAGAUAAGAGUAAUACUUCUUCAAGACAAAUCUCAGAAAGAAGAAUUACUUUGUUCAAAGAUGCUUAAACGGCUCUUCAUAUCAAAGUUCUCUUCACAUACAGGCUGAAGGAAGAAUUCAUGCCACAUAAUUGAUCAGGUUUUUGUAGUCUUUGCCCAUUCCAACUGAUAGGCUAAAAGUUACAGGAAAUUAGGAUAAAAUAAUAAGAACAAUCAACUCCUUUUUAAAGGCAGAGGAGAACAUGGAGACUAACAAGAACCCCAGUGCAGGAGUCAUGUGUGCUGUGCUGCUAUGCUGUGCUAAGAUGCUUCGGUCGUGUCCAACUCUGUGCAACUCUAUGAACUAUAGCCUGCCAGGUUCCUCUGACCAUGGGAUUUUCCAGGCAAGAAUACUGGAGUGGGUUGCCACUCACUCCUCC
ensembl:lncRNA